CUACAGAUGGUUAACUGCUUAGCAUGGUGUGGAAUUUUACAUGUCCACCCUCUCAGUGCUAGCUCAUCUCCAAGAAGGCUAGGACACUUCCCUGGGGCUGAAUGUACUGAUAAUACUCCCCUACUGUCUCUUUAAAGCAAACAAAAAUCCUCACAGCAGGGGAAUUCUUUGUUCCAUCAACCUAGGCCAAGUUCUAACAACUGUCCUAGUUUCAGUCUAGAGCCUCUAAUUACUAUGAUUUCUCCUGUGGUGGCCUGAAGAGCAAAGGUAUUUUGCGUUCAGCGAGAUUCCAAGGGGUGCGUGAGUCUUGCAGAAGCAUUUCUAGUAUGGACUAAAAAAGCCUAUGCUUCGCAGUUGCCGUAGAAACCUGACGUCAUAGGGCGACCGUGACGAAUUUUUAAUAAGCCCUGAUUUGGAGAGCAGGUCUCGACCUCAGAAGUUUGGGACUCAGCUGAGAGUGUGGGGUCCCGCUGAGGGGGCUGAACCGCCUUGGAGUGUGAGGAGACAGAAGAAUCCAGAUCCAGCUUUUCCCGCUUUGGGGCUCGGUGCCCCGGCUGUCUUGUAUGUAAAGCCAUUGUGGUCCCUCCCAGCUCCAGUGAGUGUAAGUGUUCCUGCUGGGGUGUCCUGGAGCUGCUUUCCUCUAAAGACAAGGAUGCGGGAGGUUAGGACAGUUGUACAAGGAAAAUACUUCAAAGCUGUUUUAAUCCACGUGUGUUGAUUACCCUGGGCCCUGGUCUGAAGGAGCCUGUGACUGAAGUUCUCCCUGAAUCCAAGCGUUGAAGCAUUUUCCCCUCUGGCUGCUGUGGGCUGAGUGCUGGGAAACCUCAUGCAGCUUUUACCUUUCUCUCUCAGGUGGGUCUCUGCUUGGCUAACUGGGAGGUUAAACCCAUAAGCCUGCUUUCAGUUAAAGGUCAAGGUACAUUUAUUUGGAGAGAACAAAAAAAAGCAUAUUGUGAAAAUACUUUUGUCUCAUAACCUUCACUAAAUCCUAGGAAGUAGAGAAAUCAUAGCACUACAGAAUAUAAGGUUUGUUUGAGAGAUAUGCUUGUCCUUCCCCUAGGCAUUUGUAUGUCCCUGUAGCUGCUCAGUUAAGACUGUCAUGUGGUAGAUUCAUAAAUUAGUUCUGGAACCAUCCUAUUAUCUAAUUUCUUUGAUUUAGGGAUGUCCCCAUUCUAACACUGAGCCCAUUUCCUAUAGGAAAGGCUGGGGAUAUUUAAGUUUUCUGAUUACUUUUUUUAAGUUUCAAAUCCAAGGCACUUUCAUUGUAGAUAAAAACAGAAAAUACAUGAAAACAAAAUAAAACUCAUUACAAAUGUUUAAAAGUCUAUUAC
rnacentral:lncRNA from 1 species